rnacentral:rRNA from 1 species
UACGUAGGCAGCAAGCGUUGUUCGGAGUUACUGGGCGUAAAGAGUGUGUAGGCGGUCCUCUAAGUUCGGUGUGAAAUCUCCCGGCUCAACUGGGAGGGUGCGCCGGAAACUGGAGGGCUUGAGUGUGGGAGAGGAAAGCGGAAUUCCUGGUGUAGCGGUGAAAUGCGUAGAUAUCAGGAGGAACACCGGCGGUGUAGACGGCUUUCUGGACCACGACUGACGCUGAGACACGAAAGCGUGGGGAGCAAACAGGAUUAGAUACCCUGGUAGUCCACGCCCUAAACGAUGCAUACUUGGUGUGAGCCAUUCAUUUGGUUCGUGCCGGAGCUAACGCGUUAAGUAUGCCGCCUGGGGAGUACGGUCGCAAGGCUGAA